CUCUGGGAAUCUGUUUCUUUAUGUGUCUUUUUCUUUUCUUUGAAAAGAAAUGAAAUGAAAUGAAGCUUAAAAAUCUCUACAGGAGGGCAGAGAAGACAUGACAGAGAUUGUUUUAAAGAUAUCACUACCUUUCUCCAAAAUAAGGGAUGACUGCAUAAAAUAUAUCUAAAACCAGAAGGAUUCUGGUUUUCUCUUCUAGAAUCAACGCUGAGGCUCUGAGGUUGACCUGCCGACUCCAUCACGCUCAGCAGGCCGUCAUUUAAAGCAAGCCCUUUAUGCAGGCACUAUGAAUGACCUUGGAAAUGCAGAGAUUUACAGACAGGAUCCUCUUGUCAAAGUGUGGAUGAUCUCGCCAGGAAAUCCAGAAGGUCUCAUCCAAUCAGUUGAACGUUUUAAGAGAAAAGAGGUUCUCAGAAGGGAAGAGAGAAUUCUGCCUUUUACCACCUUUGGACUUGAGCUGCAACAUCAACCCUGCCCUGGGUCUUCAGCCUUCAAGUCCACCUUGCAGAUUUUGGAUGUUCAGUCUCUACAGUCAUGUGAGUCAAUAACUCCCUCUCUCUCAUAUGUACGUGUGUGUGUGUGUGUGUGUGUGUGUGUGUGUGUGUGUACAUCAUAUUGGUUCUUGUUUUCUGGAAAACCCUGACUCGUACACUUUUAAAACUGGAGAACCGAUAGUUUAAGCCUAUGCUCACUUCUUCCCUUGACCCCAGAAAUAACCUCAGCCCUUACUUGUCAAAUGAAAAUCAGGCUCCAGAUAUGAACUCCUUCCACUUCCCACUCUGAUACCCAAGAAUUUACCUGGACUUGGAUGAGCCCUCACCUCCUAAUCUCAAAAUAAGAAAAAUCACCACUUUGCCCUUCCGGGUCAGAUCUUCCCCGUGUUCUUGAUCAGAACCUUUGUCAUCUUCCCCCAAACUGGGACCUUGCUCCAUCGAUCAUCAGCUCUCUCCAGUACUUCCUGGCACCCAUCUCCUUCCCCAGUAUCUAAAAAUAUGUUCUAAUGUCUCCCACGUUUUACAAAGGAAAGCAAAAUAACAUCUCCCUGAAUCUUAACUGGCACCUUCUCUCUCUUCUUCCCUUCGCAGCCAAGCUCCUCAAUGCUUUUUUUUUUCCACCCUUUUUACAGCUGCACCUGCAGCACAAGGAAGAGGCAACAGCAGAUCCUUAGCCCAGGGAUUGAACCCCCAUCCUCACAGAGACAAAGGCAGGUCCUUAACCCACUAAACCAUGAUGGGAACUCUUCCCAUUCACUCUUCAGCUGAUCCCUUCUGCCUCCCACCCCUCACUGUGCCAUUAAACCCACUCUGCCAAAGACACCAGCGAUCCCAGGUUGCCAAGACCAGAGGGCGCUUUUCAGUUCUGACUUUACCUGAUCUUUCUGUAUCCUCUGAACAGGAACCCCUCCCUUCCUGUCCCUCCCCAUCCCUAGAUGCCAUGACUCCAUCUCUCUUAGUUUUUCCAAACGGAUUCAAACCACUGAUGGCAACACGGAUAAUUUUAGAUGGUCCAAGGCCACAACCAGGGCUUUGUACACCGUGUAAAGUGGCCCUCUCUGGAUCUGAGCCCUGCCCCAAAGGUGAUUUGUGUAGUGAGAAAAUAGAUUCCCUCUUAGGCUCUUGCAGUCCUUCUAAGUUAAACAAAGAGAACAUCUCAGUUUGAAAUUAGCCCUGCCCCAAAGGUGAGUUGUGUAGUGAGAAAAUAGAUUCCCUCUUAAGCUCUUUCAGUUCUUCUAAGUUAAACAAAGAGAACAUCUCAGUUUGAAAUGAGUGUGUCUUUAACAGCUCUCCAAUGCUUGCUAACUUUCCUUUUCUGAAAAGAUAAAAGGAAAGCCCUCUCAAACACAUAGCCUUUUCUGGCCAAUAAGUCACGAGCUAGAAUCUAGAAAUGGGUUUUUUGUUUAUCUCUAUUCUUACUUAUUUUUUGGAGUACUUUCCACUGGUGACAAGUGAGGCUACUUUCUUACUUACUACAGUGAUAAUACAUUUCCUUUCUAAAUAAUCUCAAAAAAAUUGAAGUUGAGUUGAACUGAGAAAAAGCCCAAGAAAAGCCAUAGGGCAGGUGACACAGACCUAGGGUACACAGAUGCCUGCAGUUUGAGAAACACUGCUUCCACACUGGUGUGUCUCAAGGGCCUGACCUCCUUCCUCUCACAUGUCACGUGCUCUGUGCCAUUUCUCAUCUAGUCACAGAGAUUUAAUCACUGCUGAUAGGCCUUAACACCAUUAUCUCUGUCUGUAGCUCUCUCCUGGUUUGUUAAUGCAGAUUUAACCACCCUACCCUGUCCUCGCCUUCAUACGCCGCUGGUGUUACGCUGACCAUUGGGUUCAGAGAAGAUGCUGGGGUCGGUGUCCACCGCAGAGAGUCAAGGUUCCCAAGCGUUACAGAGAUAAUCCCCAAGGCACCUCACAUCCAAGGUCAGCCUACCUCUCAGGGAACUUUGAAGUGAAAGGUUAAGAUGACCAGGCCAUAGGCAUCAAGAAGACCCUGGGGAAAUGCAGCCAGAGCUGGUGCAAUAGAAACGCUAAUAAUCACCGCCCUGCACUGAGCACUUGCUAGGUACCAGCUCCCAAUCCCGAGGCAUUUGCAUAAAACAUUCUCAGCUAUGGAAGAGACCAAAGUCAUGCACUUUUCCUCCUGGACACACAGACCCCAUUUCCUGGCCUGCCUCACAGUUGAAGCAGCUACGUGCCUGGGUUCCGGGUAUUUUGGUGGAAUGCGUGUCGCUUCUCGGUCUGGUCCGUAACCAACUCUUCUCCCACUCAGCCCAUCCCCAGCUCGCACCUCCCUAUCUAAGAGCACGCUCACGAAACAGAAGGAACAGGAGUCCCUAACCUUCCACGUGGAAGGCUGCCCAUGGAACACCCACUCGGACUAUUACAUUUGUGAAGUAAACCUUUAUGACGUUAAGCCACUAAGAUUUGAGGACUUAUCUGUUAUAAGAGCAGCUAGAAUUCCCUAAUUCCCUAAGCCCCUAAAUAGCACUAUUACUAUCAUCAUUGUCACAUGAGGCUCUUCAAAUAGAUACGCCACUCUCCCAAGACCACAGCUGGUAAGACCACAUCAGGGUUCAAACUUAAGUCAUUCAGCUCCAGAACCCAUGCUGGCCACCACCAGUGCUUUCCUAUAAAGGGUUGUGGGGAUGAAAUGAGAUAAGGCAGAUAUCUUGCUAACAUGUGACUGACACCCGGGUGAUGGAGAAUAAAGGCAGCUGUGAUUGUGAUUGUGUGGGUGUCAUGGUUGUGAUGAGCAUCCCAUGGGCCUUCGCUGACUUUCUCCAAUCCCACCUUGCCACCUUCCUACGGCCCCAACCCACACUGACCCUAACACACACCCCUAUGCGUCUCUGAUGAUCUAUAACAAAUAUAUUUGCUACCUUCCUGCCCUCUUUUUUUUUCCUUUGGUGUGAUUUCAAGUGUCUACUGAGAUUCCAUGUCCAAGCUGGGCCAAUGUACGCCUUGCCUGUGGAAUGGGUCUGAUGGAGCACAGCAAAGUUACAGGCCUGUCCUGGUCCAGUUUUUUUUUUUUUCUCAUCAGCUUGAAAGAACCUCUUCAAAGGUAAGUGACUCAAAUUAGAGGAGGAAUAAGAACUGGGGGAAUAGCUGAGAUGCAAGAAGACAAAACCAAGACCCUAAAUGUUCUCAACAGGCUGGAACAAUGAGCCAAACCUGAGAAGAAGUUUAAUAGAGAAAAACAAAUGACAAAAUCUCAGAGGAAAAGGCUGAAAGGUCACUGAUUGGAGCCUCUGAUGAAAUCCUUGCUGAAUGGAUUUCCUCCUUCCUGGUGUUUAUGAUGCAAGUCGCACCUGUUCCUAUCUGAUUAUCUCUGGCUGUAGGAAGAAAUUACCGUAUCUAUUUAAAAAUCUUGUUAAAUUCCAAUUAAAUGGACAGGGCUAGCUUAGAUGUUUUUUAAACCCCAUGCUCUUAAGCAGCUGCAUCAGAAGCAGACUUGUCUCUGAUCCUGUGUGUGUGAUCUCGGUUUCAAAAAGUGUUCCGUGAAUAAACUUCAGAGGUGUUUAUUAUUGAUGGGGGCAGCGUCCUGAUGGGGAGACUUCUAGUCUAACUGGCCAUGUUUGUUUGUUUCUAUCACCCAAAGAGAAGGGCCAUCAAAAGGGCAAAUUGCACAUCUUCUAGAAAACCGGGAGGCAGGUACUUAGAACCAAAUGCAAGAGAAAUGUUAGUGGGUUUGACCUUUGGCAAAGUUGCUAAAGCCUAAGGCCUCCACAAGGUUAACACUUGAAAAGGUUUAGGGCAAACCAGUUCCCCUCAAGUCUCAGGAAAAACGAAAGGCAGGUUAAGUAAAAGAGUGGCCAUACAAAAUAAUUAAAACAAUCGUCUUAAAUCGCCGUAGGCAUUGCUGUGGCUCUGGCAUAGGCCGGCGGCUACAGCUCUGA